rnacentral:tRNA from 1 species
UCCUGCUUCAUAACCUAGAUGAUGAUGAUCUGUUAAAUGAUAUGAAUAUAUUCUUCAUAAAGCCAC